UUAGGAACUGUUGGCCAGGUGGGUCAGUAUUAGGAACUGUUGGCCAGGUGGGUCAGUAUUAGGAACUGUUGGCCAGGUGGGUCAGUAUUAGGAACUGUUGGCUAGGUGGGUCAGUAUUAGGAACUGUUGGCUAGGUGGGUCAGUAUUAGGAACUGUUGGCUAGGUGGGUCAGUAUUAGGAACGGUUGGCUAGGUGGGUCAGUAUUAGGAACUGUUGGCUAGGUGGGUCAGUAUUAGGAACUGUUGGCUAGGUGGGUCAGUAUUAGGAACUGUUGGCUAGGUGGGUCAGUAUUAGGAACUGUUGGCUAGGUGGGUCAGUAUUAGGAACUGUUGGCCAGGUGGGUCAGUAUUAGGAACUGUUGGCUAGGUGGGUCAGUAUUAGGAACUGUUGGCUAGGUGGGUCAGUAUUAGGAACUGUUGGCUAGGUGGGUCAGUAUUAGGAACUGUUGGCCAGGUGGGUCAGUAUUAGGAACUGUUGGCUAGGUGGGUCAGUAUUAGGAACUGUUGGCCAGGUGGGUCAGUAUUAGGAACUGUUGGCCAGGUGGGUCAGUAUUAGGAACUGUUGGCCAGGUGGGUCAGUAUUAGGAACUGUUGGCCAGGUGGGUCAGUAUUAGGAACUGUUGGCCAGGUGGGUCAGUAUUAGGAACUGUUGGCUAGGUGGGUCAGUAUUAGGAACUGUUGGCUAGGUGGGUCAGUAUUAGGAACUGUUGGCUAGGUGGGUCAGUAUUAGGAACGGUUGGCUAGGUGGGUCAGUAUUAGGAACUGUUGGCUAGGUGGGUCAGUAUUAGGAACUGUUGGCUAGGUGGGUCAGUAUUAGGAACUGUUGGCUAGGUGGGUCAGUAUUAGGAACUGUUGGCUAGGUGGGUCAGUAUUAGGAACUGUUGGCUAGGUGGGUCAGUAUUAGGAACUGUUGGCUAGGUGGGUCAGUAUUAGGAACUGUUGGCUAGGUGGGUCAGUAUUAGGAACUGUUGGCUAGGUGGGUCAGUAUUAGGAACUGUUGGCUAGGUGGGUCAGUAUUAGGAACUGUUGGCUAGGUGGGUCAGUAUUAGGAACUGUUGGCUAGGUGGGUCAGUAUUAGGAACUGUUGGCUAGGUGGGUCAGUAUUAGGAACUGUUGGCUAGGUGGGUCAGUAUUAGGAACUGUUGGCUAGGUGGGUCAGUAUUAGGAACUGUUGGCUAGGUGGGUCAGUAUUAGGAACUGUUGGCCAGGUGGGUCAGUAUUAGGAACUGUUGGCCAGGUGGGUCAGUAUUAGGAACUGUUGGCCAGGUGGGUCAGUAUUAGGAACUGUUG